UACCUGGUUGAUCCUGCCAGUAGUCAUAUGCUUGUCUCAAAGAUUAAGCCAUGCAAGUCUAAGUACGAGCUCUCGUACAGUGAAACUGCGAAUGGCUCAUUAAAUCAGUUAUGGUUCAUUUGAUCGUACAGUUUACUUGGAUAACUGUGGUAAUUCUAGAGCUAAUACAUGCGAGAAGCGCCGACCUCGCGGGAGGCGUGCAUUUAUCAGACCAAAAACCGGCCGCGUCUUCGGGCGCGUUCGCCUUGGUGACUCUGGAUAACUUUGCGGAUCGCACGGUCUAGCACCGGCGACGGAUCAUUCAAGUGUCUGAAUCCACC
rnacentral:ncRNA from 1 species